CAGCCGCCACGGUAAUACGUAGGGUGCAAGCGUUAAUCGGAAUUACUGGGCGUAAAGCGUGCGCAGGCGGUUAUAUAAGUCAGAUGUGAAAUCCCCGGGCUCAACCUGGGAACUGCGUUUGAGACUGUAUGGCUAGAGUGUGUCAGAGGGGGGUAGAAUUCCACGUGUAGCAGUGAAAUGCGUAGAUAUGUGGAGGAAUACCGAUGGCGAAGGCAGCCCCCUGGGAUAACACUGACGCUCAUGCACGAAAGCGUGGGGAGCAAACAGGAUUAGAUACCCCCGUAGUCCCUGUCUCUUAUAC
rnacentral:rRNA from 1 species